rnacentral:rRNA from 1 species
UACGAAGGGGGCUAGCGUUGCUCGGAAUAACUGGGCGUAAAGCGCACGUAGGCGGAUUGUUAAGUCGGGGGUGAAAUCCUGGAGCUCAACUCCAGAACUGCCUUCGAUACUGACGAUCUCGAGUCCGGGAGAGGUGAGUGGAACUCCGAGUGUAGAGGUGAAAUUCGUAGAUAUUCGGAAGAACACCAGUGGCGAAGGCGGCUCACUGGCCCGGUACUGACGCUGAGGUGCGAAAGCGUGGGGAGCAAACAGG